rnacentral:rRNA from 1 species
GAUGAACGCUGGCGGCGUGCUUAACACAUGCAAGUCGAACGUGAGGGUGUAGCAAUAUGCCUGAAAGUGGCGAACGGGUGAGUAACACGUAGAUGACCUGCCCUGGAGUGGGGGAUAACCAUUGGAAACGGUGGCUAAUACCGCAUACAUCCAGAAGAUUGGGAAAUUUUCUGGGGAAAGCUCUGGUGCUCUGGGAGGGGUCUGCGUCCGAUUAGCUAGUUGGUGAGGUAAAGGCUCACCAAGGCGACGAUCGGUAGCUGGUCUGAGAGGACGAUCAGCCACACGGGAACUGAGACACGGUCCCGACUCCUACGGGGGGCAGCAGUGGGGAAUAUUGGGCAAUGGGCGAGAGCCUGACCCAGCAACGCCGCGUGGAGGAAGACGGCCUUCGGGUUGUAAACUCCUUUUGACAGGGAAGAGAGAGGACGGUACCUGUCGAAUAAGUCACGGCUAACUACGUGCCAGCAGCCGCCGUAACAC